AACGAACGCUGGCGGCAGGCCUAACACAUGCAAGUCGAGCGGGCGUAGCAAUACGUCAGCGGCGGACGGGUGAGUAACACGUGGGAAUAUGCCUUUCGGUUUGGAACAACUCGGGGAAACCUGUGCUAAUUCCGGAUACGCCCUUAGGGGAAAGAUUUAUCGCCGAAAGAUUAGCCCGCGUCCGAUUAGCUAGUUGGUGAGGUAACGGCCCACCAAGGCGACGAUCGGUAGCUGGUUUGAGAGAACGACCAGCCACACUGGGACUGAGACACGGCCCAGACUCCUACGGGAGGCCAGCAGUGGGGAAUCUUGGACAAUGGAGGAACUCUGAUCCAGCCAUGCCGCGUGAGUGAUGAAGGCCUUCGGUUG
rnacentral:rRNA from 1 species